rnacentral:rRNA from 1 species
GUGUCAGCCGCCGCGGUAAUACGAAGGGGGCUAGCGUUGCUCGGAAUUACUGGGCGUAAAGGGCGCGUAGGCGGCUUUGCAAGUCAGGCGUGAAAUCCCUGGGCUCAACCUGGGGGCUGCGCUUGAGACUGUGGGGCUAGAGGACGGAAGAGGGCGGUGGAAUUCCCAGUGUAGAGGUGAAAUUCGUAGAUAUUGGGAAGAACACCAGUGGCGAAGGCGGCCGCCUGGUCCGUUACUGACGCUGAGGCGCGACAGCGUGGGGAGCAAACAGGAUUAGAUACCCUGGUAGUCC